rnacentral:rRNA from 1 species
CACGUAGGAGGCGAGCGUUGUCCGGAAUCAUUGGGCGUAAAGAGCGCGCAGGCGGCUUGGCAAGUCGGGUGUGAAAUCCCGGGGCUCAACCCCGUGACUGCAUCCGAUACUGUCAGGCUAGAGGUAGGUAGGGGAGAUCGGAAUUCCUGGUGUAGCGGUGAAAUGCGCAGAUAUCAGGAGGAACACCGGUGGCGAAGGCGGGAUCUCUGGGCCUUACCUGACGCUCAGGCGCGAAAGCUAGGGGAGCGAACAGG